AUGGACCCAGCAGAGAUCUUGAAUGUUAGAUUUCACUUUGGGGGUCACUUCAUACGAAUUGGUCCAAGUCUAGAUUAUGUUGGGGGAGAAACUGGAAUGUCAGAGAUUGAGCGGGACAAGCUCUCUUUGCAGGAGCUGAAAGGGUUUUUAGGAGAUCAUAUGACAAUGAAGGAGAGCAUGAAAUACUAUUUCCUGUUGCCUGGCAGAGAUUUGGUAAAUGGAUUGCUUUUUUUACAUGAUGAUGGUGGCUGCAUGAAGAUGUCUGACUACAUUACAGAGGGAGUUGGUGAAAUAUAUGUGGAGUACAAUGGUGAAGAAGAAGAACAAGGAGAAAUAGACAGUGGAUCAGAUUUUGAGGAUGAGCUUGAUGAACUG
rnacentral:rRNA from 1 species